GCAAAAGCUUCGGGAGACGUGGAUUCAGCGUAUCAACAGGGCUGGACGGGGCGGCAGGUUCUCCAAGUUUACGCCUACCACGGGACACCGAGUAUGCGGUGCCCACUUCGAAGGAGGAAAAAAGACUUACAUGAACAGAGUGCCCACAAUCUUCCCGCUGAGACCGCAAAAGGUGGAAAGGAGGCGACCACUCAUAAGGACACAGCCGGAACUUCCCAACAGUCCAACUGUGGCACCCCAGCACGACCCAGAAGUCUCAGGCUCUGCCAUCACUAGUAGCAGCAGCGACAGUGAAGACACCGCACAGCAAAGCACUCUACUCAUGGACCAUGCCUACAGCAGCCAAGAGU